UUCCGUCGACUUUAUAAAUCGUGAGGGUUCAAGUCCCUCUAUCCCCA
rnacentral:tRNA from 3 species